rnacentral:tRNA from 1 species
GCCUGUUUAACUCAAUUGGUAGAGUACCGGUUUUGUAAACCGACAGUUAACGGUUCAAGUCCGUUAGCAGGCU